rnacentral:rRNA from 1 species
UACGUAGGGCGCAAGCGUUGUCCGGAAUUAUUGGGCGUAAAGAGCUCGUAGGCGGCUUGUCACGUCGGGUGUGAAAGCCCGGGGCUUAACCCCGGGUCUGCAUUCGAUACGGGCUAGCUAGAGUGUGGUAGGGGAGAUCGGAAUUCCUGGUGUAGCGGUGAAAUGCGCAGAUAUCAGGAGGAACACCGGUGGCGAAGGCGGAUCUCUGGGCCAUUACUGACGCUGAGGAGCGAAAGUGUGGGGAGCGAACAGG